AGCAACACAGCACAACUGGGUAGAGGAACUAAAGGAAAAAAGAAACAGGGAGCACAUACAGUCGUUAAACAUCAAAGAUCAUUUUCGGGGUCAGAAAGAGAACAUUUUGUGAGCAUCCCUUAACUCAUGACUCUGCAGAUCUCGGACUCUGAUUACCCAUCUUGGCUCGGUGCUUUGCCUUUGCUCUUUUUCCAUCAGUCUGGCAGCUCCAUGUCUUUGGCAAGGAGAAGAGUUUGCAUCACUCCUCUAACUGAACUAAUCAAAGGAAUAGACACAGCCGGCAGGAAAAGCACAAGGGCACCAGGCCUUCUUCUCCUCCCUGCUGUUGCUCCAAACUCCAUCUCUGUGGAAGCACAACACGGAUAUUGUCUCAGCUUUGUUUUCCCUCAGCUGUCCGAGGAAGCUCCUGGUGGACCCACCUAUGGUGCUCUCAGGUCUGGUGCCCUGCAGACUAACAUAUGAGAGGAGCUUUCUGCACAUGAGCGCAACACAAACAUCACGACCCUGCCUGCAGCGUCUCAAUUUCCUCUGAUUCAGAGACGUGAAUUGAUGGAGGGGCUGCAGAGUCAUGGUGAUUUAAGCUGUUCUAGAUCUGGAGGAUUAUUUGCAGCACAUGUCAUGAUGUUAUCCCCGACACCCUCAACUCACGUUCUCUAUGCCCGCAUCUUCUGUCUCCAGGCAUUUUUCACUUGUUUAGUGUUGUGAAGGGCAAG